rnacentral:sRNA from 1 species
AAUCGAGGAACUUAGUCUAAGAACGCCACAACCACCUGUGGCAAUGACUUAGUGACCAACUUCGUGCUGU